GGGUUGUGAGGUUAAGCGACUAAGCGUACACGGUGGAUGCCCUGGCAGUCAGAGGCGAUGAAGGACGUGCUAAUCUGCGAAAAGCGUCGGUAAGGUGAUAUGAACCGUUACAGCCGGCGAUGUCCGAAUGGGGAAACCCAGUGCAAUUCGUUGCACUAUCGUUAACUGAAUACAUAGGUUAACGAGGCGAACCGGGGGAACUGAAACAUCUAAGUACCCCGAGGAAAAGAAAUCAACCGAGAUUCCCCCAGUAGCGGCGAGCGAACGGGGAGCAGCCCAGAGUCUGAAUCAGCUUGUGUGUUAGUGGAACGGUCUGGAAAGUCCGACGGUACAGGGUGAUAGUCCCGUACACCAAAAUGCACAGGUUGUGAACUCGAAGAGUAGGGCGGGACACGUGGUAUCCUGUCUGAAUAUGGGGGGACCAUCCUCCAAGGCUAAAUACUCCUGACUGACCGAUAGUGAACCAGUACCGUGAGGGAAAGGCGAAAAGAACCCCGGCGAGGGGAGUGAAAAAGAACCUGAAACCGUGUACGUACAAGCAGUGGGAGCACCUUCGGGUGUGACUGCGUACCUUUUGUAUAAUGGGUCAGCGACUUAUAUUCUGUAGCAAGGUUAACCGUAUAGGGGAGCCGCAGGGAAACCGAGUCUUAACUGGGCGUUAAGUUGCAGGGUAUAGACCCGAAACCCGGUGAUCUAGCCAUGGGCAGGUUGAAGGUUGGGUAACACUAACUGGAGGACCGAACCGACUAAUGUUGAAAAAUUAGCGGAUGACUUGUGGCUGGGGGUGAAAGGCCAAUCAAACCGGGAGAUAGCUGGUUCUCCCCGAAAGCUAUUUAGGUAGCGCCUCGUGAACUCAUCUUCGGGGGUAGAGCACUGUUUCGGCUAGGGGGUCAUCCCGACUUACCAACCCGAUGCAAACUACGAAUACCGAAGAAUGUUAUCACGGGAGACACACGGCGGGUGCUAACGUCCGUCGUGAAGAGGGAAACAACCCAGACCGCCAGCUAAGGUCCCAAAGUCAUGGUUAAGUGGGAAACGAUGUGGGAAGGCACAGACAGCCAGGAUGUUGGCUUAGAAGCAGCCAUCAUUUAAAGAAAGCGUAAUAGCUCACUGGUCGAGUCGGCCUGCGCGGAAGAUGUAACGGGGCUAAACCAUGCACCGAAGCUGCGGCAGCGACACUAUGUGUUGUUGGGUAGGGGAGCGUUCUGUAAGCCUGCGAAGGUGACCUGUGAGGGUUGCUGGAGGUAUCAGAAGUGCGAAUGCUGACAUAAGUAACGAUAAAGCGGGUGAAAAGCCCGCUCGCCGGAAGACCAAGGGUUCCUGUCCAACGUUAAUCGGGGCAGGGUGAGUCGACCCCUAAGGCGAGGCCGAAAGGCGUAGUCGAUGGGAAACAGGUUAAUAUUCCUGUACUUGGUGUUACUGCGAAGGGGGGACGGAGAAGGCUAUGUUAGCCGGGCGACGGUUGUCCCGGUUUAAGCAUGUAGGCUGGUUGUCCAGGCAAAUCCGGAUAAUCAAGGCUGAGGUGUGAUGACGAGGCACUACGGUGCUGAAGUAACAAAUGCCCUGCUUCCAGGAAAAGCCUCUAAGCAUCAGGUAACAUUAAAUCGUACCCCAAACCGACACAGGUGGUCAGGUAGAGAAUACCAAGGCGCUUGAGAGAACUCGGGUGAAGGAACUAGGCAAAAUGGUGCCGUAACUUCGGGAGAAGGCACGCUGGUGUGUAGGUGAAGUCCCUGCGGAUGGAGCUGAGACCAGUCGAAGAUACCAGCUGGCUGCAACUGUUUAUUAAAAACACAGCACUGUGCAAACACGAAAGUGGACGUAUACGGUGUGACGCCUGCCCGGUGCCGGAAGGUUAAUUGAUGGGGUUAUCCGUAAGGAGAAGCUCUUGAUCGAAGCCCCGGUAAACGGCGGCCGUAACUAUAACGGUCCUAAGGUAGCGAAAUUCCUUGUCGGGUAAGUUCCGACCUGCACGAAUGGCGUAAUGAUGGCCAGGCUGUCUCCACCCGAGACUCAGUGAAAUUGAACUCGCUGUGAAGAUGCAGUGUACCCGCGGCAAGACGGAAAGACCCCGUGAACCUUUACUAUAGCUUGACACUGAACAUUGAGCCUUGAUGUGUAGGAUAGGUGGGAGGCUUUGAAGCGUGGACGCCAGUCUGCGUGGAGCCAACCUUGAAAUACCACCCUUUAAUGUUUGAUGUUCUAACGUUGGCCCCUUACCGGGGUUGCGGACAGUGUCUGGUGGGUAGUUUGACUGGGGCGGUCUCCUCCCAAAGCGUAACGGAGGAGCACGAAGGUUAGCUAAUCCUGGUCGGACAUCAGGAGGUUAGUGCAAUGGCAUAAGCUAGCUUGACUGCGAGCGUGACGGCGCGAGCAGGUGCGAAAGCAGGUCAUAGUGAUCCGGUGGUUCUGAAUGGAAGGGCCAUCGCUCAACGGAUAAAAGGUACUCCGGGGAUAACAGGCUGAUACCGCCCAAGAGUUCAUAUCGACGGCGGUGUUUGGCACCUCGAUGUCGGCUCAUCACAUCCUGGGGCUGAAGUAGGUCCCAAGGGUAUGGCUGUUCGCCAUUUAAAGUGGUACGCGAGCUGGGUUUAGAACGUCGUGAGACAGUUCGGUCCCUAUCUGCCGUGGGCGCUGGAGAAUUGAGGGGGGCUGCUCCUAGUACGAGAGGACCGGAGUGGACGCAUCACUGGUGUUCGGGUUGUCAUGCCAAUGGCACUGCCCGGUAGCUAAAUGCGGAAGAGAUAAGUGCUGAAAGCAUCUAAGCACGAAACUUGCCCCGAGAUGAGUUCUCCCUGAGACUUUAAGUCUCCUGAAGGAACGUUAAAGACGAUGACGUUGAUAGGCCGGGUGUGUAAGCGCAGCGAUGCGUUGAGCUAACCGGUACUAAUGAACCGUGAGGCUUAACCUUACAACGCCGAAG
rnacentral:rRNA from 1 species